UUCCAGACUCCUACGGGAGGCAGCAGUGAGGAAUAUUGGUCAAUGGCCGAGAGGCUGAACCAGCCAAGUCGCGUGAGGGAUGACGGCCCUACGGGUUGUAAACCUCUUUUGCCGGGGAGCAAAGAGCGGGACGCGUCCCGCCUCGAGAGUACCCGGAGAAAAAGCAUCGGCUAACUCCGUGCCAGCAGCCGCGGUAAUACGGAGGAUGCGAGCGUUAUCCGGAUUUAUUGGGUUUAAAGGGUGCGUAGGCGGAAGGUUAAGUCAGCGGUCAAAUGUCGGUGCUCAACACCGGCCUGCCGUUGAAACUGGUCUUCUUGAGUGAGCGAGAAGUAUGCGGAAUGCGUGGUGUAGCGGUGAAAUGCAUAGAUAUCACGCAGAACUCCGAUUGCGAAGGCAGCAUACCGGCGCUCAACUGACGCUGAGGCACGAAAGCGUGGGGAUCGAACAGGAUUAGAUACCCCCGUAAG
rnacentral:rRNA from 1 species